AGUAGGCCUUUUCCCUAGCCUAUUGAUUUAUUGAUUUAUACUCUGAUUGACAGGAUUUCAGUUGAUUCGAAUACAAUUGGCUCAUUUACUUAAAAGGCUACACUAUUAUUCUUUUCAGAUUCAUCAUCAAGGAUCACAGACUCAGACUGUUUACUUUUAUCCUGCUCUAGAUGCAGUUCUACUGCGCGAGGUUUACAGUCUUAAUCCUUACGCUCACGGCGGUGCUCCGAAAUAGGAGACUGUUUGUCGACAUGUAAAUAAGGCCUUAUGUGGAAACACGACAGUGUAAAGAGAGAACUACAAGACUUUUGACAGUUUUCAAAAACAAGAGAUAGCCUCACUUAAGGCUUCAGGAUUUGCAGAGGAGGAGUUUGAAGAAAGGGAGAGACUUUUAACCGAGUUGUAAGCCUUGCAAGAGGACAGCAAGGAAUCUGACCAGGAACAGAAGAAAACGAUAGACAAAGAAAAUGAGAAAGAGAACGAGAAAGUAAAAGAACAACAGGGGAAAUUUAUCCGUGAGGCAGCCAUGGAAUCUCUGAAAAGUGCUGAAGAUGGCAAGUGUGAAGAAAUUGAUUUUGGAACCCUUCGCGGCACAAAAACAAAUGAAAGAUGACAUACUGAACUUUCUGAGGGAAAAGCAUGAGGCUGAAGUCAAACUUUGUCAAGAAGAAUUACAGCUUGGUAUUGGAGGGGAGAGAAAGAGAAAAUGUAAUGCAGCUAAUGUUGCAGAUGAUGCAGCGUUUCAAGGACACUUAAAUCAAUUUUUUAUUUAUUCACAAGACACAAAUCUAUGUAGUACAAGAACAGUUGUGUGAUUAAACUGUUAAACAGUUUUAAAGCCUUUAUAAUUGUAUAUAUUUCAGAAUAAUAUGAUAGGCUACCGUCCAAAAAUAUGCGUAAGUUUUGGGUUAAUUUCAAAUAUGUUGAAGUUUUAUUUGGUCAAUUUUGUAACAUCAGGGAAUACCUCUGGAUACCUCUGCUGAUUGACAAAAAUAGUUUUAAAAUCAAAAAGAAA